AAAAUGCGAUAAGUAGUGUGAAUUGCAGAAUUCAGUGAAUCAUCGAAUCUUUGAACGCACAUUGCGCCCUUUGGCAUUCCAGAGGGCACACCUGUUCGAGCGUCAUUACACAUCUCAAGCCCCGGCUUGGUGUUGGGUGUUUGUCCCCCCCCUUCAGGGGGGGGGGGACUCGCCUCAAAAGCAUCGGCGUUGGCACAUUGGGCCUUGAGCGUAGCAUAUUUUGCGCACAAGAGGCCCCGUGUGGCGGCGGCCGCAACCCCUGGGGGCACCGCGUGUGCCCCUAUUUUUGUUUGACCUCGGAUCAGGUGGGGAUACCCGCUGAACUUAA
rnacentral:misc_RNA from 1 species